rfam:Salmo salar isolate Sally breed double haploid chromosome ssa13, whole genome shotgun sequence.
UGGCAAAAACCCGUAGAUCCGAUCUUGUGGCGAAUCUGACAUCACAAGCUCGCCUCUGUGGGCCUCUGUCAU